UUGUCCAGCAUCGGUAAAAAAAAAACAAAUCGACUGCACUUCACUCGUCCUCAUCCUCACGUGCAGGCCUUCUCUCUCUGUAUCCACACCUUUCCUCUGCUGCCGCAUCGCAUCCUCCGCCGCCUCUUGCACCGGCCGUAUCCAGAGCUCCCAACCUUUCCCAGAUCGAGCUCCAUCUCUCCAGAUCUGAUUUCUCCAUCCCUCUUCCGGCUCCCGGCCGUGUUCCGGGAUAUAUGGUGGCGGCAGGUGCCUGAGGUAUCGCCGGUGGAGCCACCGCCAAUGGAGCUGCUGGUAAGCACCGGACCUGGGGACGCAGCAACCAAGCCGUGAGGAGCCCAACAACGUUGCAGGACUGGAGCGCUCCAUCGUUGAUUGUGGCAGCUGAUGUCGGGGCCGCGUUGACGCAACCCUGCUACCCCGAACAAAAAGGAAGCGGCGCGCGGCCAAAGCGCUGCACCAUCAUGUCGUAUUGUCGUGGACUCGGAGAGAGGAGCGGGCAGAAAAAAAAAAGACAGACUGAAAUUUUGCCUCUUUAUUAGUAGGUAUAGAUUAUUCUUCACAAAUAAAUAUGUUUGUGCGCUGUAACACAAGAAAAAAGCUAUAACAUAUUAAUGAGAAAUGAGAACAAAAGUCUUGAUGAGAUC